GAGAACAUUUGAGUUGUGAGUUUACUUGCGGGGGUGUCCACCGCUACUGCAAACCAAUAUUCAUCCGAGUAGGCGGGGCGAACUCAUGCAUAUUCAUUGCAUUUGCUCACGUGUGCGAGAAAGUUUUCUCCGUGUGUUAUGCGUUGACGAUCUCCGCACCUGCGAUCGAGGCAAAUCACGGUUUCUUCGCUAGUCAUGCAUGCCAGUUGAUCGGCGUGUUCUAGUGUUACAUUUCGCUCUUAUUGUGUUCGUGUGCGUCGUCUGUUGUCUGGAAUACACUAAUUUACUAAGAGAUUUCGCCGAGAGAUAUUUCAUUAUGGAACAUACAAAUACAAGCAUAGAUACUGGAGGAUGCAAGGAACAAGUGAAAAUGUCGGAUAGUGGAAAUAACCUUGAUUUUUCAAGUAAAACUCAUGAAAGGCGACCAGGUUGGUCCUGUGGAAGCGUCUUCGCCUACCUAUGGGGUUUAUCACUCACGGUGUUGUGCUUAGCGUUAGCUGCAAAUCUGGUUCAUACAAAUCGUCAAGUUUCUGAACUCAAGAUGGAAUUUUUAGCCUUGAAACUCGGAGCACACAAGACUGAAAUCGAGAAAAAUGUCAGGACGAUAAAUUCAUCAGAAGUCCACGAAAGCAUCAA